AUGAUCUAGGCAUCUGGACACAUUACAGUUGUUUAACUACUUUUGGAUUGGCAUUAUGACAAAUUUACUUGGGCAAUUAAUGACAUCCGGAAGAAGUAUGAGGUGGAGAAGCUGGAGAUAGUUAACAUGGAAAAGCAAAAGGCAGAAAAACUUGUUCGAGAAAGGGCGAUAGAAUGUGAGAAAAAACUUGAAGAAUGCAGAGAAGAAUCUAGGCAGCACUUAAUGCAUGUUCAGGAGGAACAUACUGGCGCUGGUCAGUAGUCUUCAGCAGGAGCAUGAUAAAAAGGAACGAAGUAUAAAAGCUAAACACAGUGAAGAGCUAAAGCAGAUCCAACUUCAAGCUGAAAACGAGUUGAGAGAGAAAAUUACAUCAAUGAGGAAUGAACAUGAAGCCCAACUGAAAGCUUUGAGGCUUCAGCAUGAAGAUGAGAUUAAGAAGCUUCAGGAGGACUUGGAUGUUCAAAAGUCCAAAGAGGAGAAGCAGAGGGCAUUACUGCAAUUGCAGUGGAAAGUUAUGAGUGAUAAGCCAGAAGAGGAGCAAGAAGUGAAUUCAAAGAAGUAAUACUCAAUUUCGUCAAGGAGAAACCCUGUUGUGAGAAGGAGAGGUCAGCGUUCUCUGAGAAGACCAGAGCAUGAGAAGGAUUCACCUCUAGUGGGAGCAAAACAAACACCUGUGUCAACACUGUUGAAGAAAGCUUCAGAGAAUAUCAAUUCACCAACUGUAAUGAAUAUUUCAAAGCACCACAAAAAGGUAAUUCGUGACGAAUAUGAAGUUGAAACUGGUAAUGGAAGAACUAUUAAACGGAAAUUAAGAAGCACAGUCAUGUUUGAGGAUCCAAGAAAACAUAAGAGGACAAGUACACCAAAACUCAAAAGCCCCAGGAGUGUGGUCAAGGGAUCUAAGGGAGAGGGUCAACCACGUCCUUCAAACAUCGUUGACCUGUUUUCUAAAGGGUCUCUGAAUCCAUAUGCUGAUGAUCCAUAUGCAUUUGAUUAAGGUCAGGAAAGAAACCGCUAUGGUACCUCUUAAAUGCCUCACACACCAGCGGGCAUGUGAUCUGAUCGUGUACAGGAUUUGGUCUUGCGUAUAAGUGGGCAUAGAACUAGGGCAAUUUUUACUGAUUUGGAUCAUCAGUUCUGAACUCUUUGUCAAUAUGGGAUUUUGUAAUUAGUUAACAUCACACUCUUUGUACAUAUGGGGAUCUACUCAUUACUGAAAGUGGUACGCACUUGAUCUAUGUGAUCACUGCAAAUAGAUAGUGAAAAAAAGGUCAAAACUUUAAAUGAAAAUUUGAUUGCUACUUUGCAGAUAUGCUUCUCUUUUUUUUUUCUUUGUUCC